GAGCGGCGAACGGGUGAGUAACACGUGAGCAAUCUGCCCAUCACAUCGGGAUAACUCCGGGAAACCGAAGCUAAUACCGAAUACGACCACCUCCGGCAUCGGAUGGUGGUGGAAAGUUCCGGCGGUGAUGGAUGAGCUCGCGGCCUAUCAGCUUGUUGGUGGGGUAAUGGCCUACCAAGGCUUCGACGGGUAGCCGGCCUGAGAGGGUGACCGGCCACACUGGGACUGAGACACGGCCCAGACUCCUACGGGAGGCAGCAGUGGGGAAUAUUGGACAAUGGGCGAAAGCCUGAUCCAGCAACGCCGCGUGAGGGAUGACGGCCUUCGGGUUGUAAACCUCUUUCAGCAGGGACGAAGCGCAAGUGACGGUACCUGCAGAAGAAGCACCGGCCAACUACGUGCCAGCAGCCGCGGUAAUACGUAGGGUGCGAGCGUUGUCCGGAAUUAUUGGGCGUAAAGGGCUCGUAGGCGGUCUGUCGCGUCGGGAGUGAAAACUCAGGGCUUAACCCUGAGCCUGCUUCCGAUACGGGCAGACUAGAGGUAUGCAGGGGAGAACGGAAUUCCUGGUGUAGCGGUGAAAUGCGCAGAUAUCAGGAGGAACACCGGUGGCGAAGGCGGUUCUCUGGGCAUUACCUGACGCUGAGGAGCGAAAGUGUGGGGAGCGAACAGGAUUAGAUACCCUGGUAGUCCACACCGUAAACGUUGGGCGCUAGGUGUGGGA
rnacentral:rRNA from 1 species